rnacentral:snoRNA from 1 species
UUGCUGUGAUGACUAUCUUAGGACACCUUUGGAAUACCCAUGAAAAUAAGUUAUUUCUGACCAAC